ensembl:lncRNA
UCUAUGUGUGUCAGUGGAUACAUUCCUACACAGUGCAUUAUUUUUUGACCAAAGGGCCAUAAUGUAGUUAUCUCUUAUAUUCCCUAUCUAUCUGUGUUUGUGUCAGUGUGUACGUCAACCAGUCCUCCAUCAGGCUUGUGAGUGUCAGAGAGAUGGUGUGGGUGGUUUUUUUCUUCUUUUCUCUGGUGACAGCAAGUUCAGGCAGGGUGUGUGACGGAGGAGAUAUGAGAAGAGUUCCCAAAGCAACAGGCACUCAGAACACAUAGAGAAGAUCACCCAGGAACACAGAGACACAGCAGGUAAGAGAGAGAGCGCUGUCUCAUCUCUCCUUCUCUCUUUCUGUCUUUCUUUCCAUCAUUCUCUCUCUUUCAUCUCUCUCACUCUGUACUUUCCAGUAUUUACUAUAGUAUGUUAGUUAUGUAGAAAUGCUGUUACGUUGUCUUACUGAGUAUUCCUUUGGAGAUCUGAUUUACCUCCAUGUUAAAACCAAUAUUAGCGAAUUUAACAAAAAUCCAAAGAAGAUUUUCUAACCAGACAAGCAUUUGUAAAUCUCUAACCAAUCGUAUAUCUAUGUCAAUGUUAAUAACCAAUCACAUGGUUCACAUGUUAUAGUUAGUGAAACAGACGGAAACGUUUAGAUACUGUUUUACAUGUCUAUGAGUUUUCAUGUGUAUAUCUAUCUGUCCGUAUAUCUAUGUCAAUGUUAAUAACCAAUCACAUAGUUUGUAUAUCUAUGUCAAUGUUAAUUACCAAUCACAUGGUUCACAUGUUAUAGUUAGUGAGACAGACGGAAACGUUUAGAUACUGUUUUACGUGUCUAUGAGUUUUCAUAUGAAAUGGUUUGACAACAGUCUGAGUUAAUUAACAUUGACAUAGAUAUACAGACAUAGAUAUACAGACAUAGAUAUACAGACAGAUAUAUACGGACAGAUAUAUACGGACAGAUAUAUACAGACAGAUGUAUACGGACAGACAUACAGUUAUAACCUGUUGUCAUAGAGAUAGUCAUGAUGUGACUCAUAGGUCUACGUUCCAAAUGGCACCAGAUUCCCUGUUUAGUGCAUUACUUUUGAGCAGGGCCCAUUAAAAGCAGUGCACUACCUAGGAAAUAGGGUGCGUGGAAGCUGGCAGUGUUUGAGGCUCCAACUCGAGAGCGAAGAGUCAAAGUCUGAGUGAGUCUGGAACCAGGAGUCCCUGUUAUCUCCGUCAUAAAUUGAACACACAGAGGCGGCACACAGACACACACAGUGAACUCUCUGUCACCCAGAUGAGAUGAUGCGACAGAGAGAGAUGGAGUGACAGAUAAAAACAGAUAAAUAUUAUCUGCCACAUUACUGUUGUAUCUCAUCUAGCACAAUGCUUCUUUCUGUCUUAUUUCAUACUGAAUCAAAAACCACCCCGUCCACAACCUCUGGUGUGUGUGUGUGUGUGUGUGUGUGUGUGUGUGUGUGUGUGUGUGUGUGUGUGUGUGUGUGUGUGUGUGUGUGUGUGUGUGUGUGUGUGUGUGUGUGUGUGUGUGUGUGUGUGUGUGUGUGUGUGUGUGUGUGUGUGUGUGUGUGUGUGUGUGUGUGUAAACUGUCUAUACAAUUCUAUAGUACAGAGAAUGAGAUCAUCUAUCUGGAAGAGCUGCAUUAAGACAUGAAUCCCUUUCUCUCUCCCCCCUUUCUCUCUCCCCCCUUUCUCUCGCCCAGCUUUAAAGACAUAAAAACAACAGAGAGAUAUAUUGCAUCGCAAAGGAGAAGAGAAGGAGAGAAACAAAAGAAAGAGAAGAGAAGGAGAGAAUAAAAAAAGAAAAGAUGGCGAUCGGAAAGAGUCCCAGAAACGGUUCCGUCAGGUCUCCAAAGUACUUGGACAAGAGUUCUGGGUUCUACGGUCGCCUGGAUGAGCCCGAGAUGGGAGGAGAGGAGGAGGAGCAGGGGAGAGAGGGGGACUGGGGGGGAUCGUGCCCAGCCACAGAGCUCUCUACGGGGGGAGAGACGGACCGGGGAGAGCCUGGGGUGUUUGACUUCAACGAGGGAAUGAUGGAAGAUGACGACACCACUCUCCUCCGAAGGAAACCCAGCCGGCUCAGCUCCCGCUGGAGAAGAAGCUCCAGGAAGGCCAAACCCCAGGCGAUCUCCCCCAGGGAGGGGGAACAGAUCCUGGGUACAGAGAUGGAGGCCCCUGUCCUGGAGGUCACUGCGGUGGAAGUGAGAAGGAGCCGCUGGGGGAGGAGCACCGGGAAGAAACAGGGGGCCGAGCCUCUGACGGUCUCCCCCAGGGAGGAGGGCCCGAUCCUGGGUACGGAGAUGGAGACGCAGACCCCUGUCCUGGAGGUCCUGGAGGUGGAGGUGAGGGUAGAGACUGAAGAAGGACAGAGGGAGAAAGAGAGAAUAGAAGAGGAGAGGACGCUGGUCCACUUUGCGAGCAGAGAAGAAGAGGAUGACCAGGUUCUGAUAAAGGACAAUAAGAGAGGGAGGGAAGAAGAGAAGGAGGAGGAGAUGAAGGUGAUGAGGAAGAGGAGCACGCUGAAGAACUACCGCAAGACUUUCGACCGAGCGUUCCGACGAGGGUGGGAGACCUUCGUCACUAACCUGUACAGCGUGACGCUCACACCUGACUCAUCAUCAUCAUCACCCCCAUCAAGGGAGAUGCACCAUUCCUCAGCAUUAGCAGAAUACAGAUAGGAUUCACAAACCUGUUCAUCUAAUCUGUAAACUGCAAUUGUUCCAAUCAGGUUAUGUAACGCCCAUAUUGUAAUUUGAGAUUGAGGCUGGCUUGGAGAGGGUUCUGUUUGUGUUCUCAACGCAAAUGACCUGUGUUCACCUCAAUGUAUGGUUCAGUUGAUUAAUCAAUCAGUGAUAUUGAUCUAGUACAUACGGGUUUAUCAAUGAUCAAUAUGAACAGCACCCGAUUAACACCAGGAAGUACACAAAGUUUAACUCAUUCUUAUUCUGAAUUCCAAAAUAGCACACUAUUGUACUAGUGCACGAAAUAGGGAAUGGGUUUAAUACUUCCUCACAGGGUGAAGUGUUCAUACCUCUCUGGAGGACCAUCUGCAGGGUGGUUUCAGUGUUGUGCAACCUGAGGGAGACAUAUGUUUCACUAUCCAUGUACCUAUUGAAUGUACCCCAAGUGUGUUAUGUUUGUUUCAUAAAAGGAGAAUGUUUUCAUACCAUGAAAUGAACUAACCAUGGGGGACAUGAGGGUACGAAAAAAAAACGGUCUCAAACUUUGGUCCUCUGACUUUGUCUAAAAGGAGGUUGCACACAACACACACAACAUACAUUAUUUAUUCAUGUUAAUUUAUUUACUAUAUGAUCAGUUUUCACACUUUUCUGUGUAAUCUCUCUCAAUAAUAUCUUACCAAAGAGUUUAUUUAUUUUUAAUUAUUGGCUUAAAUCACAACAUAACAUCUCUCUCUUGCAGCAUUGAAGUCAAGCUCAGAAUUAUAUGAGAGCUAUACUGAGCUGCUGGAGAAAUUGUUUUUCUUCUGUGUUGCACUUGAAUGACUUGAAUGAAAUUGUUAUAUUUAGUUUAAAAAUCAAUGCUUUGUAUUACUUGUGCCAUCUUUGUAGCCUUUGUCCUUAAAUAAAUAUAAUUUCUCAAAUAUA